rnacentral:rRNA from 1 species
GCCCGCCAGAGAACUACAAGCAAACGCUCCAAACCCAAAGGACUUGACGGUGUCCCAUAUCAACCUAGAGGAGCCUGUCCUUUAAUCGAUACCCCGCGCUAAACCUCACCCUCAUUUGCACCAACAGUCUAUAUACCGCCGUCACCAGCCCGCCUAAUGAUAGACCCCCCCUACAGCAGGCAAGAUAGUUAAUCACUAAUACGUCAGGUCAAGGUGUAGCUUAUAUGAGGGCAAGAGAUGGGCUACAUUUCCUGCCACAGGAAAAACCAACCGCAACAUGAAACAUGAGCCAAAAGGCGGAUUUAGCAGUAAGUGUAGACAAGAUAUGCUACCCUGAA